UACGGGGGAGGCAAGCGUUAAUCGGAUUUAUUGGGCGUAAAGGGCGCGUAGGCGGUUUCUUAAGUCAGGUGUUAAAGACCACGGCUCACCCGUGGGGCUGCGCCUGAUACUGAGGGACUGGAGUGCAGCAGAGGCAAGCGGAAUUCCCGGUGUAGCGGUGAAAUGCAUAGAUAUCGGGAGGAACACCAGUGGCGAAGGCGGCUUGCUGGGCUGUAACUGACGCUGAGGCGCGAAAGCCAGGGGAGCGAACGGGAUUAGAUACCCCGGUAGUCCUGGCCGUAAACGUUGUGCACUAGGUGUGGGGGGGUAUCGACCCCUUCCGUGCCGCAGGUAACCCAUUAAGUGCACCGCCUGGGGAGUACGACCGCAAGGUUGAA
rnacentral:rRNA from 1 species